CCAAAGGCUCUUUUAAGAGCCACCGACUUUGUCUUUCGAAAGAGCU
rfam:Leptosomus discolor contig65189, whole genome shotgun sequence.